rnacentral:rRNA from 1 species
AUGACCGAUCUCUUUACUUUUAAGAGCAGUGGAGAGAGAUGCGACAUGGCGAGCAGGAGCCGGGUGAGACGGUCAGGAGCUGCCGGCAUCACCGUAGGAGGUUUGAUGAUGGAUAUUAGGACACUCACCUUUACAUGUAGGGUUGGAUUAGAUGGGUGUAUUUUUUUUUCUCUAGUUGUAAAACGAAACAAGGUUGGCAUGAUCCAGAAGCGCGAAGAAGACAGAUCCGUCUAUGCAUCUCUGGUGAAGGAAAUCAAGUAUUUGUUAAGUCUUCGAGAAACUUGUAUUACUCAUGUUAUUCGUAGUCAAAAUAAGGCUAGUGAUUGUCUGGCUAGUUUUGGUAGAACUGAAGGUAGAACCAUGACGUGGAUCGGUUCAGGUCCUCCCAUGGUUAUGGACUUGGGUGUUUGA